rnacentral:rRNA from 1 species
GAGCGAUGAAGCACCUUCGGGUGUGAAUUAGCGGCGAACGGGUGAGGAACACGUGAGAAAUCUGCCUUCAACACUGGGAUAACUCCGGGAAACCGGGGCUAAUACCGGAUAUGAAACCUGCGGGCAUCCGCGGUUUGGAAAGUUUUUCGGUUGAAGAUGAUCUCGCGGCCUAUCAGCUUGUUGGUGAGGUAAUGGCUCACCCAAGGCGACGAUCAGUAGCUGGUCUGAGAGGACGAUCAGCCACACUGGGACUGAGACACGGUCCAGACUCCUACGGGAGGCAGCAGUGGGGAAUUUUUCCGCAAUGGGCGAAAGCCUGACGGAGCAAUACCGCGUGAGGGAAGAAUGCCUAUGGGUUGUAAACCUCUUUUUUCAGGGAGGAAUAAAAUGACGUGUACCUGAAGAAUAAGCAUCGGCUAACUCCGUG